UACGUAGGGGGCAAGCGUUGUCCGGAAUCAUUGGGCGUAAAGCGCGUGUAGGCGGCCCGGUAGGUCCGCUGUGAAAGUCCAGGGCUCAACCCUGGGAUGCCGGUGGAUACUGUCGGGCUCGAGUCCGGAAGAGGCGAGUGGAAUUCCUGGUGUAGCGGUGAAAUGCGCAGAUAUCAGGAGGAACACCGGUGGCGAAGGCGGGUCUCUGGGCCGAUAUUGACGCUGAGGAGCGAAAGCGUGGGGAGCGAACAGG
rnacentral:rRNA from 1 species